rnacentral:rRNA from 1 species
UACGGGGGGGGCAAGCGUUGUUCGGAAUUACUGGGCGUAAAGGGCUCGUAGGCGGCCAACUAAGUCGGACGUGAAAUCCCUCGGCUCAACCGGGGAACUGCGUCCGAUACUGGCGAGCUUGAAUCCGGGAGAGGGAUGUGGAAUUCCAGGUGUAGCGGUGAAAUGCGUAGAUAUCUGGAGGAACACCGGUGGCGAAGGCGGCAUCCUGGACCGGUUCUGACGCUCAGGCGCGAAAGCGUGGGGAGCGAUCCGG